rnacentral:lncRNA from 1 species
AUUAAUCGAGCUCAAAUCAAAAAUCGAACAUCCUUAGUGAUUAGGUCAUCUCAUAACUUAAUCAGAUCAAACCAAAUUGAAUCCUAUUCAAUUAGAUUUAAUUCAAACUUUAAUACUCUAUCAAAUUAAGUUAAUUAAUAAUCUAAUCACUAAUCAAUUUUUUUAUAAUUCAUCAAUAAUUAGCAAAUUAAUUUAUUACAACUUUUGAACAAGAUUAAUCAUCAAUCGAAUUGAUGAUUAAAUCCUAGAACGAUUCUCAAUCAUUGAUCAGCCAGUAUAUGAUCAGUCAGAAACUUCUUUUGAGUGUAACCCCAUAGGUUCAAACCAA